rnacentral:misc_RNA from 1 species
GAAAUUCCCCAAUUUGUCAGGUGGUUUCGGACUUUCGGUCGUUUCUCUUCGAAUCGCAAGCGAAGAAGAGGAAGAAUCCCCAGUCGUCUCCGCUGCUGUCAGCACCACACCAAUGGCUGCGAUCUUAGCUCGAAAGUCUCUCUCUGCGCUUCGCGCUCGUCAGCUUGUGAGAACUCUUUAGCCCUAGCUUUCUAUGACUUCUUGCUUCCCUUCUUCUUUUUGUGUAGUUUCCGAGAAAAUGUAGGAAAAGGUGGAAUCCAUAUAAAUUUCAUUCUUAGCUUGUUACUAUCUGCAACUCGAGGUCAAUAUUCCUUUUCCUUUGACAUUUUUCCUGUUUAAUUUCAUUUCCGCAUUUAUAUGAUGUGUUUUGUACUGUUUUGGAUUACGAGGUAGAUUUGAAUCGUUUGCGAUUGUAAAUGAAUUUACUGAUUUGAAUUUUAAUUCCUCUCAUCUUGUAAGAGAAUCUCAUGACUUUUUAUUGAAUACCUUUGCGUUUGAGUUUUUAGUGGUUGGCACCAAGUGAUUUUGGUUGAAGGUUUUUUAGGGUUAUAAGAAUGAAUUUUUGAUUCUACAAUGUGCUGAAGUGGACAUGCACUUGGUUAAAUACACUGGAUCUUUUCUUGUUACAUCUAGCAUUACAAAAUCUCAUUGGUGAUGUACUUUUGUUUCAUAGAUAUUAGAAAUGAAGUCCUUUUGCUUGAUUUCUGUUUUUAAUUUGUUUGGUUGUAAUAAGAUGUUUUAGGUUUCAUAGUAACAGUGGAUGCUUUCUUGCUUCAAGUAAAUGGUGUACUUGUUAUGUGUCAUUUUCUAAAACCUGUAGUUUGGAAAAAAAAUGCGUAAAGCUAUAAUGAAAUUGUGUGGGUAAUGAAAGAGUGUUGGGUGAUCGCAUGGUGAAAUAUUUUUCUUUGUUCUCUUGCUGGGUUAUGUUUUCUGAAAAGAUGGGUAUGUGCUGGAAUAACUGUUUUGAUUUUGUUAACGUUACUGGUAUAACUUUUAAGUUUGACCUUUUUCAUGUUUCCUUUAUGAAGCUAAAUAUGUUAGUAGCCUGCAUAUUGCAAUUGCGGAAACUGAUUUUUUUGCCACUGUUGUAGUUCAUCAUAAAAAAUAAGGAUAAUAUUGUUGUUCUGGCCCUUUUGUCUACAAUUGGCACUUUUCAUAAUGCUUUGUGGAUUGCCUUUUCUCAUCCUUUGUUAUUGGCUUAAUGUUAAUAUAUUUCCACGCUGUUUGUUUAGGCUGUAUCUGGACAAACAUUGCAGGGCUCACACCAGUAUGCACUACGAUCUGGUGCACACUUAUAUUCCACCAAGAAAGAUGAUGAAGAAAGAGAGCAGCUUGCAAAGGAGAUUUCCAAGGAUUGGAAUUCUGUUUUUGAAAGAAGCAUAAACACACUAUUUCUCACUGAAAUGGUUCGCGGUUUGAUGUUAACACUCAAGUAUUUCUUUGAAAAAAAAGUGACUAUCAAUUAUCCAUUUGAGAAGGGUCCUUUGAGCCCCCGGUUUCGUGGUGAGCAUGCCCUCCGGCGAUAUCCAACUGGAGAGGAACGUUGCAUUGCCUGCAAACUCUGUGAAGCUAUAUGUCCUGCACAGGCGAUAACAAUAGAGGCUGAGGAACGUGAGGAUGGAAGCCGUAGGACAACUAGGUAUGAUAUUGAUAUGACCAAAUGCAUCUAUUGUGGAUUUUGCCAGGAGGCAUGCCCUGUUGAUGCAAUUGUUGAGGGGCCCAACUUUGAAUUUGCAACAGAGACUCAUGAGGAGCUUCUGUAUGACAAGGAGAAGCUACUUGACAAUGGGGACCGUUGGGAGACUGAGAUUGCAGAGAACCUGAGAUCGGAGAGUCUCUAUCGUUGAGGUUUUCUUGCUCGUUGAUACUAAAAUUUUUCACAAGAAAAUAAAAGAUCUGUAUAUGGUCUUGAAUACUCGUAUUGAAAAUUUUUGUGAUUCAGUAUUUUUUUUUUUUGAAUUUUCUGUUCCUGCUACAUUUUAAAGAACUUCAGUUACAAGGAUCAAUGUUUCCGUUUGAAGAAUUUCUAGAAUUGUAGUUUGAUGAUAAUGCACAUGUAGCUGCAGUCCUGUUUGGACCUGAUUGUUGGUCAAUGGGCUUUGGUCCUUUGCAAAAUUGAGUGAGUCAAUAUUUUUCUUAGAAUUUUUGUACAUUGGAAUUAGGAGAUGAAGUGUCGAUCCUAAGACUGUUUUUAACUUUGUAUCAUCAAUAUUAUAGUUAAUAAAAAUUC